rnacentral:rRNA from 1 species
UACGUAGGGUGCGAGCGUUGUCCGGAAUUAUUGGGCGUAAAGGGCUCGUAGGCGGUUUGUCGCGUCGGGAGUGAAAACACCGGGCUUAACUCGGUGCUGGCUUUCGAUACGGGCAGACUAGAGGUAUUCAGGGGAGAACGGAAUUCCUGGUGUAGCGGUGAAAUGCGCAGAUAUCAGGAGGAACACCGGUGGCGAAGGCGGCGACCUGGGUAGAUACUGACGCUGAGGUGCGAAAGCGUGGGGAGCAAACAGG